rnacentral:rRNA from 1 species
ACGAAUGGGGAGAUUCAUCGUCAGCUCAUUUUGUGUAUAUGCAGGUUGUGAUAUGGGUUACUACUUGUAGUAUUGCCUGUANAUUCUUGUAUAUUCAUUUGCAAGAUGUUGUCGGCGUGCACUUCUCUCCUAGUAGGACGUCGCGACCCGUUGAGUGUCGGUCUACGGCCCAAGUGGGAGCUUCCGAUGAAUUUUAUUUAUUGGAAACCCUUGGUGUUUCCCGACUGGCAUUCGGCGGUAUUCUUAUGGUAUUGAGCCGCAUAUUAUAUGCGUCCUUGUCCAUCGCAAGCGAGGUUAGUUAUCGAUAGUGCGGACCUAGUGCCGUCGUUGGUACUAAUCAGCUGUUGGUUGUAUGGAAUUCUAGGACUGGCUCGUUGWAAUACCGGUCAGCGAUGCUACUGCUUUGGG